rnacentral:lncRNA from 10 species
GCCCAGCCUCUUGCGUUCCUGUGUGAUGGGGCCGGAGCCAGUAAACAGGCUUCCUUCUCGCUCUGCUGUAUAAGAAGAAGAAGUAGGAGAAACAAAAUAAGGAGGAGAAGAAGUAAAAUAAUUUGAGAAGGAAUAUGAAGGGGCUGAAAUCCUGGGCUUUCUGGGCAGAAGGAUCUACGAGCGGGAUCGUGGGUGAAACAUGAAGAUGAUGGUGGACAGGUGAGCUACGCAGUUCGUGGAAGAACCAGGGGUCACAUGGCCUAGAUGCUACCCUAGAUGAGAAAGAGUCCAAUGGUUAUCAACAAGUUCUGAAAGGCAAGGCCUAAGGUCCCAUGUGGACAAGCCAGUAAGAGUUUUCAACUUGGGUGCCAGCAGUAACCGGUUAUACAAAGGAAACUCAACAUUCCUCUUCCCCAAAGUAAACCUAUUGCAAAAACCCCUUCCAUCUAAUAAUAGCAACUCAAGGUCCCAUGGAGUUUCAUACAUUUUCCAGAGUUACAAAACCUGGCUAACACUGAGUCAAGUUAGGAAUCUCAAUCAAUGUCUUUGACCAACUUAAAGUGUUUGUAGAAUGUUUGAUGUACCUAAGAGUGAGUAAAAUGUGAAAGUCAGUUGCUGGAAUUGGUUGAAUGAGAGUGUCGGGUGAAGAAGGCAAGACAUGCAACAGAGGAAGAGGAAUGUGUCAUCCAAGAGGGGAAAAGAGAAAUACUAUUACUAUCUGUUGUCUUGGUGGUUCUCAUGAGGAGUGAAAGGAGAAUUGCUAACCUGGAAGAAGAUCAGAGAAACACACUAUACAGUCCUGCAGUCCUUCACCAAGUAGCAUGGGAUAGAAGCUCUGAACAUCAGCAUAAUUUUGAGGCCUAAAGUGUAAGAAUUGCUAGAAAUGCUGUGGUAUUAUUAAUUAAUUAAUUAAUUAAUAAUUAAUUUAUUUUUGUAUUAACUUAUUUUUAUUUAGAAAUGAUGGUAAAGAUGAUGAUGAUGAUGAUGAUGAUGCUUACAAUAACAGAUACUCAAGGUUAAAAAAUAAUUGUAAAAGUUCAAACUUACAUUAGAGUAAAAGUUAUCCUGGGUGCUGCAACCUUUGUCCAACAUGACUCAUGUAACCAAUAUUAACAGUGUAACCACAAAGCUUUGUAGUGGAAUACAUGUAGGCAAUUAUUUUUACCCAACAAGAUAUACUAGCAUUGGUUUUUCUCUGCCUCUGUUUCUGAUGAGUUGUUCAUACAAUAGAGGCUAGAUAGAAUAUUCAAGUCAAUAUAAUACAAACACAACUACCACUACAUAUGGGCUAGAAGCAGGAACCCCAUCACCCACCUAGAGAAUACAGAAGAAUUGAGAAAGUGAAGAGAAUAUUGUCAGGAUAUUGGAGAAGAGAUUUCUUUGGCGAUGAUGGGCACUCAAGUGAGAUAAUUAGCUUAGGGUCACCUAGGGUCCUAUAAAAAGGUAACCCAGCAGAUAAACACUGCAGGAGUAUUUAACGAUGCUCAGGGGCCUGAGAAAUGGUAAAAUUACACCAUCACCCAGGCCCACGGUGCUGCAUAUAUCACUACAUCUCAUCCCCUGCUGCCCCCCACACUGCAGCCAGAAGUUGUGAAAGGCGCGCAGGAGAGAGCAGAGAAGCAGCAGGACCUCCCCUCUAUCUCCACUGUCGGUGUCCCUACCGAACAGGGUCCUAGAUGGGUAGGAAGGAAGAAUUUAACACUGAGUCAAGUUGGGAAUUUCAAUUGAUAGUUUGACUGAUUAAAAGUGAUUGUAGAAAUGCCUGCAUUAUCGGGCGGGUGCGGUGGCUCACGCCUGUAAUCCCAGCACUUUGGGAGGCCGAGGCAGGAGAUCACGAGGUCAGGAGAUCGAGACCAUCCUGGCUAACAUGGUGAAACCCCUUCUCUACUAAAAAUACAAAAAAUUAGCUGGGCGUGGUAGCCGGCGCCUGUAGUCCCAGCUGCUUGGGAGGCUGUGGCAGGAGAAAGGCGUGAAUCCAGGAGGCGGAGCUUGCAGUGAGAUCGUGCCACUGUACUCCAGCCUGGGCAACAGAGCGAGACUCUGUCUCAAUAAAUAAAUAAAUAAAUAAAUAAAUAAAAAGAAAUGCCUGCAUUAUCUACAAGUGAGCAGAGAAGUACAAGUUUGUAGACUAGUUUUUAAAUUAGCUGGGAAAGAUAACUCCCUCAGAACAAAUCUUAAAGGGAGAGUAGGAAAUAUAUAUAAUAAAUCUAGUUUUUUGUUUGUUUGUUUUUUGAGACAGAGUCUCACUCUGUCGCCCAGGCUGGAGUGCAGUGGUGUGAUCUCUGUUCACUGCAACCUCCACCUCCCGGGUUCGAGCGAUUCUCCUGUCUCAGCCUCCUGAGUAAAUGGGAUUAUAGGCAGCCACCACCAUGCCCAGCUAAUUCUUGUAUUUUUAGUAGAGGAGAUGGGGUUUCACCAUGUUGGCCAGGAUGGUCUCGAUCUCUUGACCUCGUGAUCUGCCUGCCUUGGCCUCCCAAAGUGGUGGGAUUACAGGAUCAAUCUAGUUUUUUAAUACAAUGCCUUCACUUCCCCGUGCCCCUCUUUUUUUCUUUUUUUUUUAACUUAAUUGCUUACAAGACGUAUCUUUUCUGUAUCAGCACAUGUUCAUAACUCUCCUUUUUUUUUUUUUUACCAAAUGUAUAAAAUGGACCAAUCUUUAGAUAUAUUAUUGUUUCUUUUGUUCAAAUUUCUUUGAAUAUUGUAUAAUCAGUGAUUAUUUAAACAUUUUGUGGUCGUCUUCUUGGUCCAUUAUUUCUUGGGCUGCUGGUCCUUUCUUUAUAAUAUUUAAGAUCUUUUUUAUUAAGAAAAUGUUACUUUGUUUUUAGUAAUCUUAAAGUCAUUCUCAAAGAUCUGGCAGCUAGUCAGUGUUCCUCUGUUGUUUGUUGCCUUGGAACUCAAACAAAGGGCCUGAUACAUGCUGUUGAUCACAAUAAGCUGAUCCUUUACACCCCACUAUUCCACCAGAAGUCAACACGCAAUGAAAUGGUUUAAAUUCUCGCUUGUGCAAUGGCUGAACUAGCUGUAUUUGGCCUUGUUGAAAGCAAUGGCAGGUACCACACUAAAUCAUUUUGAGGACUUUUCUCUAUGAAUGAAAGAGGAAAAGGAGGAUGUGUAACCAUCGGAGCCUCACUUAAUGUCAGGGAGUCAAUGCAACUUCCUCUCCUUCAGGCUGGAGGGGCAAUUUGAGUGUGUCAUGUAGAUGCACAGGUCUCUUGUAUUUAAUCUUUUCCUUUGAAGGGCAAAAAGCAGAAGAGCAUGUUUGCUCAGCCCCUGAUUUCAGCACCUCCAUCACAUAAGUCAUUGGAGGCCAACAGUAAUCACUCCUCGUCUCUCUUCUCUCACCAGAUACUACUGUUAGCUCUGGCUUUAGAACCGAGCCGCAUUCAUGACUGUUAACUAGAGAAGUGGCUUACCAAGUCUUCACCUUCUCAGAAGUCUCUCACAAUCAGCAUACUCAUUAAAGCUUUUACUUCCCAACACAACAAAUUUGCAUGCCUAUUUAAGUUAGUUAGUUCCAAAUAGGAGAAAAUGCCUGAUUAAAAUAUAAGCCUUAGGAUGACAGAUUUGAAUAUCAUGAUUAAAAUAUACACUUGAAAUUAAACUCAAAAAACUGUAAUCCUGUAACGAUAAAAUAAAAAUUAUAGUAAAAAGGGAAAGUUAAUCUUUGUUUUAAAAAUAACAAGUACCAAAGUCAUGUAAAGAAGCUAAAAGUACUGGUCUUGAAUUAUGGCUUCAUCAAGUGUUGGCUUUUUGAAAUUAGAGAAGUUAUUGGAAUGUCUUUGUGCCUCAGUUUCUUUAUCUUUAAAAUGGGGAUAAUUGCAAUAUCUACCUUGUAGGAUUGUUAAUUCAUAUAGGACACUUGGAACAGUACCUGAGGUGUGGUAAACACUAGUAAGUGUUUAUUUUUAUUAUGCUGAAUAAAGGCUGUAGAUCAAGAAUGUGUCCCAAAGUUGUGAAUAGAGUGUCACAAUGUAUCCAAGAAUUGUGAAGCAAUGAUUCUGUACAAUACAAUAAAGUUUAAUUAUUUACAAAAAUU